ACGCUGGCGGCAUGCCUAAUACAUGCAAAUCGAACGAAGCCUUUUAGGCUUAGUGGUGAACGGGUGAGUAACACGCAUCCAAUCUACCCUUAAGUUGGGGAUAACUAGUCGAAAGAUUAGCUAAUACCGAAUAAUAACAUCAAUAUCGCAUGAGAAGAUGUAGAAAGUCGCUCUUUGUGGCGACGCUUUUGGAUGAGGGUGCGACGUAUCAGAUAGUUGGUGAGGUAAUGGCUCACCAAGUCAAUGACGCGUAGCUGUACUGAGAGGUAGAACAGCCACAAUGGGACUGAGACACGGCCCAUACUCCUACGGGAGGCAGCAGUAGGGAAUUUUUCACAAUGGGCGCAAGCCUUAUGAAGCAAUGCCGCGUGAACGAUGAAGGUCUUAUAGAUUGUAAAGUUCUUUUAUAUGGGAAGAAACGCUAAAAUAGGAAAUGAUUUUAGUUUGACUGUACCAUUUGAAUAAGUAUCGGCUAACUAUGUGCCAGCAGCCGCGGUAAUACAUAGGAUGCAAGCGUUAUCCGGAUUUACUGGGCGUAAAACGAGCGCAGGCGGGUUUGUAAGUUUGGUAUUAAAUCUAGAUGCUUAACGUCUAGCUGUAUCAAAAACUGUAAACCUAGAGUGUAGUAGGGAGUUGGGGAACUCCAUGUGGAGCGGUAAAAUGCGUAGAUAUAUGGAAGAACACCGGUGGCGAAGGCGCCAACUUGGACUAUCACUGACGCUUAUGCUCGAAAGUGUG
rnacentral:rRNA from 1 species